rnacentral:rRNA from 1 species
CGUAGGCAGCGAGCGUUGUUCGGAAUUACUGGGCGUAAAGAGUGCGUAGGCGGUGCUUUAAGUUUGGUGUGAAAUCUCCCGGCUCAACUGGGAGGGUGCGCCGAAGACUGGAGUGCUUGAGUGUGGGAGAGGAAAGCGGAAUUCCUGGUGUAGCGGUGAAAUGCGUAGAUGUCAGGAGGAACACCUGCGGUGUAGACGGCUUUCUGGACCACGACUGACGCUGAGGCACGAAAGCGUGGGUAGCAAACAGGAUUAGAUACCCUGGUAGUCCACGCCCUAAACGAUGCAUACUUGGUGUGGGCAGUUCAUUCUGUCCGUGCCGGAGCUAACGCGUUAAGUAUGCCGCCUGGGGAGUACGGUCGCAAGGCUG